AUUCAGCUGACGAGUCCUGAAUAGGACGAAACUCGCGUCCUGGAU
rnacentral:hammerhead_ribozyme from 1 species